UUCCUACCAACCCCUGCAAUCCCC
rnacentral:siRNA from 1 species